CAUCGAGCCCACGCCCAGAUCCGCGCUCUCUAGUACUCGCCCGCAACCCUCACCCGUGGCUAGGGUUUCGGCCGCCACCCCUAAAUUCGUCGGGAUCUGCCACAUCCAGCGACAGCGAGGCCAGAGGUGGCCGGAUCUGGCACCGGUAAGCCCCUCCCCUCCUUAUUCGUGCACUAUCUCCUCCUCACCUCACCUUGUCUUGUGUUCCAUUUCGGCAGGUGGAUGGGAUGACGACGAUGGCAGGAGGGGCGAACCUCCAUGGGACGGGUCGCCACCAUGGAGAUGGAGCUCCUUCUCCCCUACCACGCAACCUCCCUCCCAGCGCCAAUAGAGCACCGGCUACCAUGACGCGACAGCGCUGUCGCAAGCCUCGCGGGGCUGUGCAUCUCGUCGUCUGCCACGCCCUACCAGGAGCUACAUCACCCACACGUCUCCUCUGAAGAAGGGGACGAUGGCUUGUGCGUCGGCGUGGUUGGCUCCAGCUCCCCGCCGACCUAUGACUCCACAUGCGUCGCCGUCUUCGACCACAGGUCCAUGUCCUCGAUCUGCUUCCUUUGCUUCCCCUAGGUUUCCGCGUAGAUCUGGCCGUUUGAUUUGAUGCGGAUGCGAAUUUGGUUCUCCAUCGCUGUAGGUUUCCUGUGCGUACUCGCGUUCGAAUUAGCAUUGAAUCCCUCAGUUUAUGCAGUUUCGUUGUGGUUGAUUGACACCCCUGUGAAGAUAAAAUUCAGGACCAACCGUUAGCUUUUUGUGAAGAAAAAGCUAUUGGUAAAAAAAUCGUAGGAAACCCCCAAAAGCCUCGCUCUGCUGUACAUUAUAUUACUUGGGUUACUGCAACCCUGCCUGCCUGCUACUGUGUUAGUCUGCAACGCAUACCAAGUUGAUUUCAGUGCAUUUUUUCCAUAAUUAGACUUAUGAAGCUCAAACUGACCAUAUCAGCACUAGUCUCACAUUUAGAUUUAAAAUGUUGACUGGAAAUGUGUGUAGUCGGUAUUUGUCUUGUAGCAUGGCCAGAUUCAGAGACUCAACUCGUUUCUUCUUUUGUUCCUACAAGACGAUUCAACUUAACUUUAAAAAGUAACAGUAAAUUUGGAUACUGCCAGACACAAGAGAAGACUGUUACAAUGAUAGUAUGUGCUACAUUUGAUCCCAGGUUGUACAACAUAUCUGUUACUGCAGGUCACCCAUCCUCGAGGAGCAGAAGGAGGGACGCUCUGCUCCUCUUCUUCCUUGACCAUCGGUACCACCAUGUUCCCGGGCUUCCAAGGUGCGCCAGCACACCGCCGCCAUGCCUCCUCUGCUCUCCGGGCUCGGACCAAUCGCUCGCCCCUUAAGGU
rnacentral:lncRNA from 1 species